ACUUGUAACCGUAAAGUGUUAAAAAAAAUAAAACGAAUAUAACGAGCGCGUAAAAAAUUAAAAAUAAAUAAUUAUCAUUACAAUUUUAAGAAUUUUUUUAGUUACAUCUCGUAAAGGAAAAUUAAAACAAAUAAUAUAAAAAAGAACUGUGAUAAAUAUAAAAUUAUAAAACAACAAAAAAAAUUUCAAAAACAAAACUAAUGUCUCAAAUCAAGACAACAAGUCGUUACAGCAGUCGUCGGAGUAGUGGAAUAACCAUGUCUACGAACUGCCAACAUCUUAAAAUGUUUUACGUAUUAGUACUUUUCACAUGCAGUCUUCUGCUUUGUGUUCAUGUUGCCGCUGGAGAAAAUGAUGCACGUUUUGUAUACAAUAAAUCAAAAACGGAUGCAGCAACCAGUGCAGAAACUACAGAUACAAAUGUUAAACUACUUGAAGAAAACGAAACAGAUCCGAUUCCUAUGGAUUUUUAUCGACAGCUUAAUAAUAUAACAGAUAUAUCGGAAUUUAUAGAGAAAUUUAUUGAUCCUGAAAGUAUAGACCCACAAUUAGGUAUACAUGAAAAUUUAAAACGAAACGUGGAAAGAGCUGCUGUUAUACGUGCUAAAGCUGCAAAUUGUAUACCCGAGAACACUGUCGUCGAUUUAACGCCCAUUAACCCUAAAAGUAACUAUUUUCCCCGCUGUACACGUGUCAAACGUUGCGGUGGCUGUUGUAGUACCCAAUGGAUGUCGUGUCAAGCGACAAAAACUGAAAUUGUCAAUUUCCAAGUCUAUCGUUAUUGCUAUGAAGAGGUAAAGGCAAAAUUUUGCGGUUUUGAGGUGAUUCCCGUGGAACAACAUUUAGAAUGUAAAUGUGAUUGUCGCAAAAAACCAGAGGACUGCAAUUCGUAUCAACGUUACCAGGACUGCCGCUGUCAUUGCAUUAACGAUGAGGCCCGUGAAAAAUGCUUAAAUUUGGAACACAAAAUUUGGGAUGAUGAAAAUUGUCGUUGUGUGUGUAAACAGAAUGAGAAUUGUACGACUGGUUCUUAUUAUGAUGAGAAUCAAUGCAAAUGUCUACUGCUAAACUACACUACACUGUCAGAAAAAAAAAUAACUAAAAUAAAAAUUAAUAAAACUAUUUGAAAGAGCUGAUAGCAAAAAACACUAAAAGACUACAAAUUAUAAAUUUAUUUUAAAAAAAUUUUUGUCCUUGUCAUUAAAACAAAAAAAAAAAACUUUGUUUUAUAAGUCAUCGUCAUCAUCAUCAAUCUAUUUGUUUAAUGUGAUUUGCAUUCAAAAUGUGUAAUUUAGUAUUAAAAAAAAAAACGCAAUUUUAAAAAUUCAAAGUGUUUCUGGUUUGCUAUUUAAGAACAAUUUUUGUAAUAAUUAAAUGGUAAUGGGGAGGUGGAUAGUGGAGAUAUUGUGGUUCCUCCGAUUGUUAAUAAUCGUCGACGCUUUUUUGUCAAACCCAUAGAAGUAGAACCCGAUAAUAGCACAAUUUAUGAGGUAUAAUUUCUUCAAAAAAACA